ACGAGUCGGGAGUCAGGCUGUGAACUGAAAUAGAUCCAAAGGUUCUUCCUGGGUACCCCGGAAGAGCAGUGGUGCUGAUGGCUAACCGAUACUGGGCCCAGGAGCAGCAGCAUCACAUGCAAGGACCAGGUCGUCCCCACCUGGGACAGGAACGCUCCCAAGGUCCGGAGUGGUAUCGGGAAGCCAACUUGACCUUGGGCGACCUCUGAGAGCCGGGGAUCCACCAGCAAGAAAUGCAGUAUAUGAAUUUCCUGGGACUGCUGGAGCAAAUCACCACAAACUGGGCCACUUAAAAUAAAAAGAAUCUGUUCUUUCAAGGUUCUGGAAA